CAGAGCUUUGAGGAUGAAAUUCCAUGUGGAAAUACUCCUGACACCACGUCAACUUCUUUCUACAGAACCUGUAAUGCAAGAGAGUGGAAGAGAGAGCCAGCCAACCCACCCACCAGCCCCAGGCGCUUCACAAUGGAGUGUAUUCAUACCUGCUGUCACAGUGCUGACUGUAGGGCACAGCAGAUGUACUGAAGCUAGUUUUAAAUCAGUAAAUAUGUCCACCGGCAUUAAAGCCUGCUAGUAUGCAGGUUGGAUAUCAAGGGUUGUCUAACCACGGCAUCAGGGAGCCAAGUUUGCCCUCUCACCCAACUUCUCCAGCAUGUUUCGCAGCCUGGGCAGAGCUCCAGGCUGCUGUGCUCUGCCUGCCGGCUGUGCUGUGCCACGAGCCUGAUAGACACAACCAUCUAUACACUGAAUCUUAAGCCAAAAACUUGGCUGAACCUGGUGCAAAACUGCUUUUUCUUCAGGUGUUUUGGAGGAGAGGGAUUGUAGCUGAA
rnacentral:lncRNA from 1 species